UUAAGCUCCUGGCUCGUGGCGUCUCGGUGGAGCCGGCUCCCAGCCUGAGUGGAGGGUACAUGAGCUGCGAUGGUGCCAAGUUUCUGUGCCCCUUCAAUGUGGAACAUGUGGUCAUCAAAGAAGAUGUGAGGCCUUAUCUUCACCAAGAUGGGACCUUUGGGGGCUCCAGCAAGGAAAAGAGCUUCGUCUAUCUCUAGACCCCAGCGGCGAAGGGUUUUCAGCACACGGGCGCCUGAACUGGCUGCACUCCUGGCUGUAACCAGACAUCUUCACAGGACCAGCAAAGCAAGUAUGCAGCUAUUAGAAUCACCUUCUUUGCUAUCAAGUCUCAGGAUGUGCCUCCUUCCAAACCUUGAGCUGGACCGACCCAGUGGAUGUGAAUGAACGAGGAGCAGGGGAAUAUUCAGGGAGCAGCAGAAUAUCAAGAGGCUGAAGAGGACACAGAAGGCAGCCAGGCCCCGGAAUCAUCUUUUCAUCACUGACAACAGAACAUGACAUAUCCUGAGCCAGUCUCUGAUUGAGGCAUUCAGUAAGAGGAAAUUCUGCAUGAAGAGUUAUCUGCAAAAAAAUAUUCCUACAGUGAAUUAAAUCAUCAAGCAAACUUGGUUUAUAAAUAUUCCCAUCCCAUCAUUUUUGCAAGAAUGUAAACCACACCUAAAAGCACAUUCCUUGUUUUGUAAGGAAAUACAGGGCGAUGCACACUUCGUCCCACGGUGCCAAGACUUAGCUUUAAAUUUGAUUUCAACCUUUUUGUUUUCCCCCUGUGCUGUAGUAUGAUUUCACAGUCCAUCCUCCCAUCUGUUGAAACAGAGAAGCGCUUGCAUUUUAGGCUGAGAUGACUAAUAUUCAUGAGGAAUGAAUCCAAAUUCAAACUAAAUGCACAUUUUUGCAUUUGUCCAAAGCUAGCCAUGAAUUAUCUCAGACUAUCAAUAGAAGAAGAGGAAAGUUACUAUCUGUAAAUCCCCACUUGUUUUCCCAAAUUGCACCCUUGGCAAUGGGUGUGACAGAAAAAUGUUCAGUAUUCCUCGUAGCCUAACCUGCCAAGAGAGAUAAAGCCACUUUGAUGUCCCGGGACAAGAGACUACACAGAUUUUUACCCGAAAUGGACCUCAAGCCCUUUUCAGAGAGGAACGGGCUAAAACGACCUGCCUGCUUCCUAGUCUUUGGAAUCCAGAAGAGAGACCAGUGGCCCCGCUGACUCCAGGAGGUGGCAGAUCUGAAGUCCAUAAAGAUCUCUGUGUCGUGCUGGAGGCUGAACAGCAGAGAGGCAGGGAGCUGGCCUUUGGACUGAAAUAGGCGGGGCUCAGACCUUGUCUCUGCCAGAUUGUCCGUGAUGUGUGUAUCUUAUGGAAUUAUCUGGUGAAAGGAUCGGUGUGAGUAAUAAGAACUAAGCUAACCCUCGGGGCGUUCCAAGGUAGGUGAACCACCUCAUCAUGUAUCCACGGGUGACCAUUUAUUUGCAUUUGUAGAAUCAGGACAAGCAGGACCCACUUGCA